CAGCAGCCACGGUGAUACGUAGGGUGCAAGCGUUAAUCGGAAUUACUGGGCGUAAAGCGUGCGCAGGCGGUUAUAUAAGACAGAUGUGAAAUCCCCGGGAUCAACCUGGGAACUGCAUUUGUGACUGUAUAGCUAGAGUACGGCAGAGGGGGAUGGAAUUCCGCGUGUAGCAGUGAAAUGCGUAGAUAUGCGGAGGAACACCGAUGGCGAAGGCAAUCCCCUGGGCCUGUACUGACGCUCAUGCACGAAAGCGUGGGGAGCAAACAGGAUUAGAUACCCCUGUAGUCCCUGUCUCUUAUAC
rnacentral:rRNA from 1 species